rnacentral:rRNA from 1 species
UACGGAAGGCAGCAGUGGGGAAUAUUGCACAAUGGGCGCAAGCCUGAUGCAGCCAUGCCGCGUGUAUGAAGAAGGCCUUCGGGUUGUAAAGUACUUUCAGUCGUGAGGAAGGUGUUAAGGUUAAUAACCUUAGCAAUUGACGUUAGCGACAGAAGAAGCACCGGCUAACUCCGUGCCAGCAGCCGCGGUAAUACGGAGGGUGCGAGCGUUAAUCGGAAUUACUGGGCGUAAAGGGCACGCAGGCGGUUAAUUAAGUUGGAUGUGAAAUCCCCGGGCUUAACCUGGGAAUGGCAUUCAAGACUGGUUAGCUAGAGUCUUGUAGAGGGGGUAGAAUUCCAUGUGUAGCGGUGAAAUGCGUAGAGAUGUGGAGGAAUACCGGUGGCGAAGGCGGCCCCUGGGACAAAGACUGACGCUCAUGUGCGAAAGCGUGGGGAGCGAAACAGG